UAGCUCAGUUGGUAGAGUGCUUGCCUUGCAUGCACAAAGCCCUGGGUUCAAUUCCUAG
rnacentral:tRNA from 1 species